GUUUUGUUUUGGUCGCGGGGUUGUGACGCCAUCACGCCGCGCCGGAAUAGAUCACUAGUACCAGAGCGCGGUUUUUAAGCCUCAGAUCUUAGCGGUUGUUCCGGGGUCCGUGUGUUCGUCUGUGUGUCUGUGUGUCCGCGGACGUGUCCCGGGUCUUCGGGCCAGUCUGUUGGCCCAUCCCGCACCUCCGUCGCCGCCAUGCCGCCUGGGAAGCCGCUGCAGCCUCGGCUGCAGAUUAAGAUGUACCAGCUGUUCCUGUGCUGGAUCCGCGAUCCCAAUACACACCGCGCUCUGCCGGACCGGCUGCGGCGCAUCCAGGACGCGACCCCCGACCCUGCGACCUCUGACUCGAUCACCCGUGACCCCGUAAUACCCCACCCUGCGAGCCCCGACCCCAAGACCCUUGACCUCUCUAACCGUGAACCACUCGUGACUCCGAGUCUCCCGACCCCGCCACCCACGAUGCCGCAACACCCCACCACUCGACCUCUGACCCUGCCCACGCGCUGUCCCUUGGCGCCCCCGCCUGCGCCCGACCAGCACGAGGCCGGAGGAGGACGACGACGACAACAGGACCUAGAGAGGGCAGCUCCAAAUAACAGGUCAAGGGUCACGUGGGAUGUCAGAGGUUACCUCAGUGGACAGGGAGCACCGCGCCAUCCCAGAGACACUCUGUGACCCCCCACUCCCACCCCGCCGAACUCGGACCCCCGCCCGGGCACGCGUGACCGUUCCUUGGGUGGUGACUGGAAUGACCCUGCAGUGCUGUAGGCGCUGGUGGAGCUGGCCUGGGGUUGCAACUUCGUUUUUCUGUCCUGGUUCCGCAGGACUUCGGGCAGGCGCGGGGGUGGGUAGGGCGGAAUCACGGGUGUCCCAGGGCUGUUUCGUGAAUGCCACGUGUGGGCUCCGUGUCCCCGUUAGGGACCUGAGUGGCGAUGGUUAGGGGGCGUGGCCACGGCGGACAGUGUGACCUCACAGGGUCACUGCCAGGAAGGAAGGGGGAGAGAGGUGCACCAACCCUGAUAGCUGUGUUCCAACCAGCACACCUGAGA
rnacentral:lncRNA from 1 species